GUGGGGAAUAUUGCGCAAUGGGCGAAAGCCUGACGCAGCGACGCCGCGUGAGGGAUGAGGGUUUUCGGAUCGUAAACCUCUGUCAGAAGGGAAGAAACUACGUUGUGCUAAUCAGCAGCGUACUGACGGUACCUUCAAAGGAAGCACCGGCUAACUCCGUGCCAGCAGCCGCGGUAAUACGGAGGGUGCAAGCGUUAAUCGGAAUUACUGGGCGUAAAGCGCACGUAGGCUGUAGUGUAAGUCAGGGGUGAAAUCCCACGGCUCAACCGUGGAACUGCCUUUGAUACUGCACAACUUGAAUCCGGGAGAGGGUGGCGGAAUUCCAGGUGUAGGAGUGAAAUCCGUAGAUAUCUGGAGGAACAUCAGUGGCGAAGGCGGCCACCUGGACCGGUAUUGACGCUGAGGUGCGAAAGCUAGGGGAGCGAACGGGAUUAGAAACCCGUGUAGUCC
rnacentral:rRNA from 1 species